AAGUCGAGGGGUAUUUGUAGCAAUACAGAGAGACCGGCGCACGGGUGAGUAACGCGUAUGCAACCUGCCCUUUACUGGGGGAUAGCCCGUAGAAAUGCGGAUUAAUACCCCAUAGUUCUGUUAGAUCGCAUGGUUUGACAGAUAAAGUUUCGGUGGUAAAGGAUGGGCAUGCGUGACAUUAGCUAGUUGGUGAGGUAACGGCCCACCAAGGCUACGAUGUCUAGGGGUUCUGAGAGGAAGAUCCCCCACACUGGUACUGAGACACGGACCAGACUCCUACGGGAGGCAGCAGUGAGGAAUAUUGGUCAAUGGGCGAGAGCCUGAACCAGCCAUCCCGCGUGCAGGAAGAAUGCCCUAUGGGUUGUAAACUGCUUUUUCGCAUGAAGACAUCCCGGACGUGUCCGGGACUGACGGUAAUGCGUGAAUAAGCACCGGCUAACUCCGUGCCAGCAGCCGCGGUAAUACGGAGGGUGCAAGCGUUAUCCGGAUUUAUUGGGUUUAAAGGGUGCGUAGGCGGCAAUUUAAGUCAGUGGUGAAAUCCUGCAGCUCAACUGUAGAACAGCCAUUGAAACUGAAUUACUUGAGUAAUCUUGAGGUAGGCGGAAUGUGUAGUGUAGCGGUGAAAUGCUUAGAUAUUACACAGAACACCGAUUGCGAAGGCAGCUUACUAAGGAUUUACUGACGCUGAUGCACGAAAGCGUGGGGAUCAAACAGGAUUAGAUACCCUGGUAGUCCACGCCGUAAACGAUGAUAACUCGCUGUUGGCGAUACACAGUCAGCGGCUUAGCGAAAGCGUUAAGUUAUCCACCUGGGGAGUACGCUCGCAAGAGUGAAACUCAAAGGAAUUGACGG
rnacentral:rRNA from 1 species